GCGGGCCGCUCGCAGAGGCGCCGCCGCCGCCGCCACGGCCGUCGCUCGGGGGCCGCCGCAGGAAGCUCGGCCGCGGCGCCGCGGCGCUUCCAGGUUGAAGAUUUUGGGGAAAGUCCCUCAGAAGGAAUCCAAGAAUGAGAAAAUCGUCAUUUUGCAACUUGUAAUGAAACCAUGGAUUGAGGUGCUUUUCCAGCUUCAGACAAGUGGGCUUCAAUCUUACCACAACCUAUCAAUUUACAAAAGAACAAUGGCCAGCCUCAGUGUUUCAACCAAGAAAAAAAGGAUACAUUACAGAAAUUAUUAAAAGUACAAAUUAGACUCUCUUUAAAAAAUAUACUGCAUGAACGGACACCUGGGUGGCACAGCGGUUGAGCGUCUGCCUUUGGCUCAGGGCGUGAUCCCAGGGUCCUGGGAUGGAGUCCCACAUCAGACUACCUGCAGGGAGCCUGCUUCUCCCUCUGCCUAUGUCUCUGCCUCUCUCUCUCUGUCUCUCAUGAAUAAAAAAAUAAAAUCUUUAAAAAUAUA